AUCAGAGUGGUGUAGUGGUUUGAGCGUUGGACUAGGAUGUUGAGAGACUAGGGUUCGAAUCCCAACUCUGCCA